AAAUUGAAGAGUUUGAUCAUGGCUCAGAUUGAACGCUGGCGGCAGGCCUAACACAUGCAAGUCGAACGGUAACAGGAAACAGCUUGCUGUUUCGCUGACGAGUGGCGGACGGGUGAGUAAUGUCUGGGAAACUGCCUGAUGGAGGGGGAUAACUACUGGAAACGGUAGCUAAUACCGCAUAACGUCGCAAGACCAAAGAGGGGGACCCUCGGGCCUCUUGCCAUCGGAUGUGCCCAGAUGGGAUUAGCUUGUUGGUGGGGUAACGGCUCACCAAGGCGACGAUCCCUAGCUGGUCUGAGAGGAUGACCAGCCACACUGGAACUGAGACACGGUCCAGACUCCUACGGGAGGCAGCAGUGGGGAAUAUUGCACAAUGGGCGCAAGCCUGAUGCAGCCAUGCCGCGUGUAUGAAGAAGGCCUUCGGGUUGUAAAGUACUUUCAGCGGGGAGGAAG
rnacentral:rRNA from 1 species